rnacentral:lncRNA from 1 species
GCGAGAGGAGGGCAGAGAUGUGGACCCACACAGAGGCCACGCCGGGGCUGAGCAAGGACGGCCCCGGAUAGGGCGGGCUUAGAGAGGGGCACGGAGGCUGGACCCUGGCCUUGAAGGAGCCCCUGCAAGGGCCUCCUGUUCAGGCUGCUUGGACUCUCAAGCUCUGUCUGCUUUGUUCCUACUUGGCAGAACUGGGCGCCUCUCAGCACUCACUUGGAGACGUGGGGUCGGAACUCUGGUGGCCUGGUGCCUCUCCCAGCCAGGUACUGACUCGUCCCACGACCCGGCAGCAGCCUGAGGAUCUCAGGAAUCUGUCCCCUCGCCUUGCCUUUCCCUGAACACGGGCCCAAUGUGGGCCACCUUCACUCUCGCUUCACACCAAAAGCUAAGAAAGCCUAGAAGGUUCAUACGGGUGGGGCCAGACAGCCCCCAGCUGGCCUUACAGUGUGAAGGGAACUCCCUGAGAGAAGGGAAAGCAAAGCUGUCAUAUCAGGGGUCCCCGGACCCAGCCUUGGUGGGGCCCUGCCCUGCCGACACCCAUGGCUUCCAGCAACAAAGCUGAAUACAGGUGUCUCCGCCUGCACGCGGGCCCCCUCCUGGCACCCUGAAGCCCAGCUGCACCCGCCUGCUCAGGGUCCCUCUCAAAUGCCCCUUGGCCUCUGUGACCUGACCCCUCCAGGAGCCCACCCUGGCCCCUCCCCUCCUCCAUAGGAACUUCACUCAUCCUUGGAGCCCAACCAAGCGUCUUCCUCUGCCCUCCUCCCUUCUGUGCCCUCCUCCCUCCUCCCUUCUGUGCCCUCCUCCCUCCUCCCUGGCAGGGCUCAGGGCCUUGCACUCCUCCAUGAGCUGUCUGUGCUCCUCUGUGCACGGCUCUCAGCCUGAGUCCAGGCACUGCCUCUCCCUGAGUCCCUCACCCCAGACUUGGGGGGCUCUGAGGGCCUGGACUCAUGGGUGUCUUCUAUGCCCAGCACAGGACCUGGAUGAAUGAACACACACCCUUCCUUUCCCAGGCUCUGCCGUGUCUUCUGUCAAAGCAUCAGAAAUCAGGGGCUUUGGCAGGACAACUGAAAUGGUAUAGCGGCUGCAGCAAAGCCUGGAGUCCAACUUACGUCCACGUCUCACAAGGUACAUCUUCAUAACAUGUGCCACUCCUGGCUCUUUUAUUUUCCUGCCACUCACUUUUUCUUAUUUUUAACAGAUAUUCCUUGCAACGUUGCUUGCAUAUUUGUUAAGUGGCCACUAAAUCCCUUCUGGAACUAGGCAGGGAGAAAAUCAGUCGAUUGACCGAUACAAGACAGAAUGAAGUGAUAAUCGCUACCUUUCACUGAGUGCUUUCUAUGUGCCAGGGACAAUCCUAGACAUUUUUUAUUUUUUUAGAUGGAGUUUUGCUCAUGUCACCCAGGCUGGA